UUAACUUGUUGGUGGGGUAACGGCCUACCAAGGUGAUGAUACGUAGCCGAACUGAGAGGUUGAUCGGCCACAUUGGGACUGAGACACGGCCCAAACUCCUACGGGAGGCAGCAGUAGGGAAUCUUCUACAAUGGACGAAAGUCUGAUGGAGCAACGCCGCGUGAAUGAAGAAGGCCUUCGGGUCGUAAAAUUCUGUUGUCAGAGAAGAACGUGCGUGAGAGUAACUGUUCACGUAUUGACGGUAUCUGACCAGAAAGCCACGGCUAACUACGUGCCAGCAGCCGCGGUAAUACGUAGGUGGCGAGCGUUGUCCGGAUUUAUUGGGCGUAAAGGGAACGCAGGCGGUCUUUUAAGUCUGAUGUGAAAGCCUUCGGCUUAACCGAAGUAGUGCAUUGGAAACUGGAAGACUUGAGUGCAGAAGAGGAGAGUGGAACUCCAUGUGUAGCGGUGAAAUGCGUAGAUAUAUGGAAGAACACCAGUGGCGAAAGCGGCUCUCUGGUCUGUAACUGACGCUGAGGUUCGAAAGCGUGGGUAGCAAACAGGAUUAGAUACCCUGGUAGUCCACGCCGUAAACGAUGAGUGCUAAGUGUUGGAGGGUUUCCGCCCUUCAGUGCUGCAGCUAACGCAUUAAGCACUCCGCCUGGGGAGUACGGUCGCAAGACUGAAACUCAAAGGAAUUGACGGGGGCCCGCACAAGCGGUGGAGCAUGUGGUUUAAUUCGAAGCAACGCGAAGAACCUUACCAGGUCUUGACAUCUUCUGACAAUUCCAGAGAUGGAACGUUCCCUUCGGGGACAGAAUGACAGGUGGUGCAUGGUUGUCGUCAGCUCGUGUCGUGAGAUGUUGGGUUAAGUCCCGCAACGAGCGCAACCCUUAUUGUCAGUUGCCAUCAUUAAGUUGGGCACUCUGGCGAGACUGCCGGUGACAAACCGGAGGAAGGUGGGGAUGACGUCAAAUCAUCAUGCCCCUUAUGACCUGGGCUACACACGUGCUACAAUGGACGGUACAACGAGUCGCUAACUCGCGAGGGCAAGCUAAUCUCUUAAAGCCGUUCUCAGUUCGGAUUGCAGGCUGCAACUCGCCUGCAUGAAGUCGGAAUCGCUAGUAAUCGCGAAUCAGCAUGUCGCGGUGAUUACGUUCCCGGGCCUUGUACACACCGCCCGUCACACCAUGAGAGUUUGUAACACCCAAAGUCGGUGGGGUAACCUUUUGGAGCCAGCCGCCUAAGGUGGGACAGAUGAUUGGGGUGAAGUCGUAACAAGGUA
rnacentral:rRNA from 1 species